rnacentral:rRNA from 1 species
CACGUAGGGGGCAAGCGUUGUCCGGAAUCAUUGGGCGUAAAGCGCGCGUAGGCGGCCAGAUAAGUCCGGUGUGAAAGUCAAAGGCUCAACCUUUGAAUGCCGCUGGAAACUAUCUGGCUAGAGUCCGGAAGGGGCGAGUGGAACUCCUGGUGUAGCGGUGAAAUGCGCAGAUAUCAGGAGGAACACCGAUGGCGAAGGCAGGUCUGUGGGCCACUACUGACGCUGAGAAGCGAAAGCGUGGGGAGCGAACAGG